AGUGGCGGACGGGUGAGUAACGCGUGAGAAUCUGCCUUGGGGUCGGGGACAACCACUGGAAACGGUGGCUAAUACCGGAUAAGCCGAUUGGUGAAAGAUUUAUUGCCCGAAGAGGAGCUCGCGUCUGAUUAGCUAGUUGGUGAGGUAAGAGCUCACCAAGGCAGCGAUCAGUAGCUGGUCUGAGAGGACGAUCAGCCACACUGGGACUGAGACACGGCCCAGACUCCUACGGGAGGCAGCAGUGGGGAAUUUUCCGCAAUGGGCGAAAGCCUGACGGAGCAAGACCGCGUGAGGGAGGAAGGCUCUUGGGUUGUAAACCUCUUUUCUCAGGGAAGAAGCUCUGACGGUACCUGAGGAAUCAGCCUCGGCCAACUCCGUGCCAGCAGCCGCGGUAAUACGGAGGAGGCAAGCGUUAUCCGGAAUUAUUGGGCGUAAAGCGUCCGCAGGUGGCGAUUCAAGUCUGCUGUCAAAGCACGGGGCUUAACUCCGUAAAGGCAGUGGAAACUGAAUAGCUAGAGUGCCGUAGGGGUAGAGGGAAUUCCCGGUGUAGCGGUGAAAUGCGUAGAGAUCGGGAAGAACAUCGGUGGCGAAAGCGCUCUACUGGACGGCAACUGACACUCAGGGACGAAAGCUAGGGGAGCGAAUGGGAUUAGAUACCCC
rnacentral:rRNA from 1 species